GUGGGGAAUAUUGCGCAAUGGGCGAAAGCCUGACGCAGCAACGCCGCGUGAGUGAUGAAGGCCUUCGGGUCGUAAAGCUCUGUCGCAGGGAACGAAAACCACUAUUUGAAUAGGGUAGUGGUAUGACGGUACCUUGCAAGAAAGCCCCGGCAAACUCCGUGCCAGCAGCCGCGGUAAGACGGAGGGGGCAAGCGUUGUUCGGAAUUACUGGGCGUAAAGGGCGCGCAGGCGGUCAUGCAAGUCGGGGGUGAAAGCCCACGGCUUAACCGUGGAAUUGCCUUCGAAACUGCAUGACUUGAGUACGGAAGAGGAGAGCGGAAUUCCCAGUGUAGCGGUGAAAUGCGUAGAUAUUGGGAGGAACACCAGUGGCGAAGGCGGCUCUCUGGUCCGAUACUGACGCUGAGGCGCGAAAGCCAGGGGAGCAAACGGGAUUAGAUACCCCGGUAGUCC
rnacentral:rRNA from 1 species